AUGCUCCCUCAGUCCGCUUACCGAGGAAUAGAAAGGGAGGACCGGGGGCCAGAGCAAGUUGGGUUGGGGUAUAGAGCCGUAAGCGCGGUGGGGGGGUUACAAAGGAUGUGCUCGUACGGUUCAAAGAAGGGUAUGAUCAACUCGUUGUUGGGAACUUUCACUCCUCUAUAUUCAAAAUAUGCCUUUCUAGGAGCAUUACGAUCUGCAGCUCAAAUGGUCUCUUAUGAAGUCUCUAUUGGUCUUAUUCUUAUUGUGCGCCUUGUGAGCGCGUUUGGAUCCGCGAAGGCAAUCGCUCGGAUGUUCCCCUAA
rnacentral:lncRNA from 1 species